rnacentral:misc_RNA from 1 species
GCUAGCUCACUCGGUAGGUCGAGUCAUAAGCUUGUGGGCAGAAAAAGCAGUAAGUGCAAGGUAGCAAAAGAAAGCUAGGUAAGAUAAGACAAGAGAAGCCAAGACUUGGUUGCAAAAUUUGCCCACAUAAUCACAAACGGCAACCCAAUUCAUCUCUUUUGCUCCAUAGCGACUCACAUAACCUAUUGCAGUUGCUGCAGAGCAUCCAGAUAUCAGCAGCACCAUCAUCACCAUAUCAUGCAAGAACAGGUAAAAAGAGUUCAUAAACUGUGCUGCUGCUGCUGAGCGGCUCCGAAGGCAAACAAGGAUCAGUGAAAGCCCAGAGAAGCCACACACUACUGCAUCUGCAACAACCAAGAACUUGAAAGCAGAAGAGUAGCUGUAACGAGCCAUAGUCCUGAUCCCAAAGACUAAGACAUCCUGACCGCUAGUAACCAGCACAGAGAUCGAAG